UUCUAAUGAAUGGCAAAGGGGAAGUCCACAUGUUUGGCUGAUGCUCCUGUUUUAUACAGAGAACAUUUUACUAGGCUAGAGGGAACAGAGCUUCUUGGAGGGAAGGAAGAAAGGCUAACAAAGUGCAAUUUUUGUUUUUGUUUUACUUCUUUCAAGCAAGAAUCUAAGUUGAUUGCCAAACCAUACAAUCCAGAAGCUCUGAGGCUCUCCUGGGCCUGCUGUUGAAUUUCUAAGGAGUUUGCCUUGGAAGAAUCAGACAGCAGGAUGGACUUGGGAGGACACCUAGUGGCAGAGCAGUGGCUUCCCUGGAACUCUCAAUGUAGACCAGGCUGGCCUGGAACUAACAGAGAUCACCUGCCUCUGACUCCUGGAUACUGGUAUUAAAGAGAACAAGAGGAAGGACCCUCAACAAGAAGCUGUCCCAAAGAAGUGUGGAAUGCCUCAGCCACCCAGGCCUGUCUUCACAGAGUGCAUAGAAAGGAUGUGAAGACACUCGUGAACCAUGAAGUGCUACACACAUGUUUCUGGUCAUUAUCUUACUAAGCACUGUAAAGGCAGUAGUUGCCUUAGGCAGAGCUAGAAUCCUUCCCAGUUUGGCCCCUUGCUGGCUGAGAGACCUCAGGCGAGGUCCUGAACUCUCCAGGUGUCUGUCUGUUUACUAUAGAACAUCAGCUUCUU
ensembl:antisense Gm12925 predicted gene 12925